rnacentral:tRNA from 1 species
GGAAGGUUGGCCGAAUUGGAAUGGUAAGGCCCCGCGUUGGAAGCGCGAGCGCAUGGCGCAUCAACGCUGUGAUGAGGGUUCGAGUCCCGUGCCUUCCG